UUUACUUUGAAAAAAUUGGAGUGCUCAAAUCAGGCCCACUGCCUGAACAGAUGUGCAUGGAAUAAUGGAAAAGGAACUUCGGUUCUAUUUUGUUGGUUUUCGGAACAUGAAGUAAUGAUUAAGAGGGACAGACGGGGGCAUUCGUAUUGCGGUGGGAGAGGUGAAAUUCUUGGAUCAUCGCAAGACGCCCUACAGCGAAAGCAUUUGCCAAGAAUGUUUCCAUUAAUCAAGAACGAAAGUCAGAGGUUCGAAGACGAUCAGAUACCGUCCUAGUUCUGACCAUAAACGAUGCCAACUGGCAAUCCGUUGCGAUUGCAAGUUCGAUCCAACGGGCAGCCUCCGGGAAACCAAAGUCUUUGGGUUCCGGGGGAAGUAUGGUUGCAAAGCUGAAACUUAAAGGAAUUGACGGAAAGGCACCACAAGGAGUGGAGCCUGCGCUUAAUUUGACUCAACACGGGAAAACUCUACCCGGCCCGGACACUGUGAGGAUUGACAGAUUGAAAGCUCUUUCUUGAUUCGGUGGGUGGUGGUGCAUGGCCGUUCUUAGUUGGUGGAGCGAUUUGUCUGGUUAAUUCCGAUAACGAACGAGACUCUAGCCUACUAAAUAGUACACUCAUCCAUUUGUGUGAGUGCCGACUUCUUAGGGGGACAAGUGGCAUUCAAGCCAUACGAAAUUGAGCAAUAACAGGUCUGUGAUGCCCUUAGAUGUCCGGGGCCGCACGCGCGCUACACUGAAUAGCGUAACGAGUUAUUCUCCUGAUCCGAAAGGGUCGGGCAACCUGUUGAAACCUAUUCGUGACAGGGAUCGGGGCUUGUAAUUAUUCCCCGUGAACGAGGAAUUCCUAGUAAGGCA
rnacentral:rRNA from 1 species